rnacentral:lncRNA from 1 species
UUUUUCUUUUUUUUUUUCUUUUUUUUGCUUUUUAGGACCACACCUGCAGCAUAUGGAGGUUCCCAGGCUAGGGGCUGAAUCGGAGUGUAGCUGCUGGCCUGUGCCACAGCCACAGUAAUGCAAGAUCCAAGCCGCGUCUGUGACCUACACCACAGCUCACAGCAAUGCCGGAUCCUUAACUUACUGAGCAAGGCCAGGGAUUGAACUUGAGUCCUCAUGGAUGCUAGUCAGGUUCGUUUCUGCUGAGCCAUGAUGGGAACCCCAUCAUGUUUAAUCUUGAUUGCACUGGUGAAAUGAUAAUAGUUUGAAUAUACUAGAUAAAUAACAUUAUCAAAAUUAAUUUUAUCCAUUUAAAACAUUUUUUUAAAAUGUGGCUUCUAGAAAAUUUCAAGUACAGAGCAGCUUGUAUUAGAUUUUUAUUGGACAACACUGGUCUAAAAUAUCCCAAGUCCCGGGCAGAGGAAAAGAGAGAGAUGACGAUGCUUUUGUGGGCUCUUAAAGCUUUUCCCUGGAAGGGACACUUGUGACUGGUGCGUAUGUCCUUGCCCAAAGGAAACUGCACUGGUACUUUCGAGUUUAGUAGAGUGGGGAACUGCAGGCCUGCCAGGGCCCCAAACGGCGAGAGCAAGAAGCAGGAUGUUAGAAAACAGCUUUCCCAUGGGCUACACUGGAGAAUAUCUUGCAAGGGGUUAAAAUAAUGUGUUAGCUCUACGUGAGCUGAGACAGAAACAGCCUAAGACUUAUUAUUGGGUGAAAAAGCAGCUUGUUUAACAAUAUGCAGUGUAUCAUACUAUUUAUACCCACCCCACACCUACACUAAAACGGCACCUGUUAUGACGGCAUAUGCUAUCCAGGUGAUGACCUAGAAAAAUGUCUGAAGGAUGUAAACCAAUGGUCACUUCUUUGUAUGCAGGGGUGGCUGUACCCCUAAUGUGUGAAUAUGAAGCCGCAGGAGCAUCCUCCUCUUUGGGUCGGAUGUCUCUCUGUUUCUCCAGAUCAGCUCUCCACCCUUGACCCCCGUGCCUCACGCAGUGGGGUGCUGACCAUGCCACGCUCACUGGUUUCUGGGGCCUCUUGCAGGCAGGGAGAAGCUGGAGCGCAAGGCAUUUACUCCCUUAUCCUGAUGUCCUAUCACCCCUCUUUCUUCUGAAGGGGUCUUCCCUGACAUAGCCCUCCAGCUCUCUAGAGGGUUCUCCACGCCCCCCUUUUCGGGUGGGGUGGUGACGGCUUCAUGGGACUCCGGGUGGGCACUACACCUUCUAUGGAAUUUCCGUCCACCCUGCUCACUCCCUUAUUAACAGUAACUUUACUAAAUUCUCUCCAAGGUUCUCAACAGAAGUAUAUCCCUUGUUUUCUGCUGGGGCUGUGAGUAAUACAACAUGUUACUUCUAAAAAUAAGUAAAAAUCCCAGCAGAAGAAAAAAGAAAAAAAAAAAAAAAACAAACCACCUCGACAGAAUUAUGAUUAAAAAUGUCAAAACUGUUCGCCUCACUUUCUUUGGCAGAAGAACUAUUUGUGAAUUAUUUUCUGUGCCAUCGCACUUCUCUGUAGUGACUUUUUCUAUAAUAGAUACUACUUGUAUCAUUCAUUUAAAAAGAGUCUAAAAUGAACAAAACCAGGAAAGAGAAAAGGUUACGCUGCAAUCGAAUUUGUUCAGAAACUGCUGACCUUUGUUUUAUGAGACUGUGACUAGCAGGGAGUAGGUCCUUUCUAAUCUGGCAGAGAACACGCUGCCUCCUUAGUAACAUCCAGAAGAAAAGCCACAGCCAGAACUUACCGAAUGCUCGUGAUAGGCUAAGCACUGUCUCGUAUGCUGUGUGUGACUUUCUUGUCAUCCUCUGCUGACAGCUCCUGUCCGCUUCUCAUGGAAGGAGGCCCAGCGGCUUUCUGAUGCAUGAGGUGACUCUCACCCACACACACACCACCUGCCAUGGAGCAUCCCCAGGCUAGAGAGCCCCUUGCAAAGUCCACUUCCCAUGGCCACAGCAGUCCAGCAUGUGGCCAGCUGUACUGAGACACACUGACAAGUCCCCUCACUGAGGACAGGGCACCACUGGUAGGUUAACCGAGAUCCAGAACCACAAGGUCCCCUUUAUUGGCCUAUGGGGGGGUCCGGGCCCUCACCAAUCUCUGGCAAUAUUUGUUUAAUGUCUUCACUGAUUUAUGCCACUGAACACCACACUGCAAACCUUUCCUAGAUCCUCCAGGCUCUUCUAAGAGCAGCAAAGGGAAGAGGUGGGGGCGAGUCUGGAAGAGGAAUUACUUCCUUCUUUCCUUCAGUGUGCGUGUAUUCCUGAGUCAUAGGAUCAGCAGUACACUGGGCCAACAGAGGCAACAGAAAAGACCAGCCCACCAAGACGGGCUAAGUACAGAACGGAUUAAUCUCUCCCCAAGGAAGUCUUCCCUUGGGGCAGUGGCUGUCAACCAGGAGUUCAUGGCAAUGCCUGUCUUAGGGCAAAGGACUGAGACUGGUGUUCAGUCUGGUCAGAGCUCUAGGCGGAUGUGAAUGAAGGGCAGUGGCCCCAGACGGCCUAGCCUCACAUAUGCACCUGCUUCUCAGGGAUGGAGAAGGUACAGCUUGGGACUGGACCAUAUGGGAAAAGCCAGUCUUCCUCCUAAGCUCAAAAGAAAUCCCACGUCUUGCGCACCAUCAUUCGUAGAGCGUUCGCGUCAGUGGAAGAUCUGAUUGGCCCAGAGAGCGCAGGGAUUUGCUUAGAGCUUUCCUGUUUUCUCAACCGUGACUGUUUCCAAACCAAACUCAGUCUGCAGGCGCUGGAGACCUUGCAAUCUCAUCAAAGCUCAUCUUCAAAUGACAGCUACUAGUCCAUCAAAUCAGGGUCAGCUUGGCCUAAGGGAGCUCCCCGAGGAGCCUGCUGGGAUGGUUCCAUCCGAGACUUGAGUUCAAGUCCAGGCUUUUCCAAAAGGGAGCUGACAGGAAAGCACGUAAGCUCUCCUCCUCUGUGUAAGAGACGUAAUAACUCCUAUACUGGUGGUCGGAAAGUAUACAGAGUAGUUAGUACCUUGACAGGUGGGAAGGUAUUAUUAUUGUUAGUGAGAAUUGGUAUCAGUAGUUAAUCAGCCACAUCAUGUCACCAAAGAAUGAUUUCUCCAUGUGUAUGUCGCAGGGUUGUCACCUCUGUUUUUUAAGUUCUUGUGACAGUGCUUGGUUUCUCAGGAUAUUUGCUUUUUUAAUUUAAAUAACAUUAUUUUUACUGUGGUAAAUAUAUAUAACAAAACUUAGCAGUUUAAGCCAUUUUUUGUUUUGUUUUUUUUUUUAGGGCCAUACUCACGGCAUAUGGAAGUUCCCAGCCUGGGUCAAAUUGGAGCUGUAGCUACCAGCCUACACCACAGCCACAGCAAUGCCAGAUCUGAGCCAUGUCUGUGACCUACACCAGAGCUCAUGGCAACACCGGAUCCUUAACCCACUGANUGAGGUCAGGGAUUGAACCCACAACCUCAUGGUUCUUAGCCAGAGCAACACAGGAUCAGAGCUGCUUCUGAGACCUAUACCACAGCUCAUGGCAACACUGGAUAUUAACCCACUGAGGGAGGCCAGGGAUCAAACCUGCAUCCUCAUGGAUACUAGUAGCGUUUGUUACUGCUGAGCCACAAUGGGAACUCCUAAAUCACUUUUAAGGAGAGCAACUGGAGUUCCCACUGUGGCACAGUGGGUUAAGGAUCUGGCAUUGCUGCAGCUGUGGUGUAGUUUGCAGCUCUGGCGUAGGUUGAAACUGCGGCUUGGAUUAGAUCCCUGGCUGGGGACAUUAUCUACUUCCAGAAGUUAUUUAUUUAUUUGCUUUUUAGGGCCACACCCAUGGCAUAUGGGGGUUCCCAGGCUAGGGGUCGAAAUGGAGCAUUGCUGCUGGCCUCUGCCACAGCCACAGCAACGCAAGAUGCGAGCCUUGUCUGCGACCUACACCACAGCUCACGGCAACGAUGCACCUUUAACCCACCGAGCGAGGCCAGGGAUCAAACCUGCAUCCUCAUGGAUUCAUUAACUGCUGAGCCAUGGCAGGAACUCCCCUAUUUCCAGAACUUCUUAAUCAUCCCAAACGGAAGCUCUGCAACUAUUCAAGAAUAACACCUCAUGCUCCCCUCCUUCCCACCUCCCAGUAAUCUCCAGUGUACCUUCUUUCUCUAUGUACGUCACUCUCGUAGGUACCUCAUUUAAGUGGAAUCAUAAACAUCCAGCCUUUCGUGUCUGCUUCAUUGUGUUUAGCGCGGUGUUUUCAAGGUUCAUGCAAGUUGCAGCAUCCCAGGAUUUUUUUUUAAGUCAGUCCAAUGUAACUGAAUUUUAGCACCUUCCUUGUACCAAACGUUAAGUGCAAAGUAGUGAACCUCCUUGGCCCUGCCUCAUGGAGCUUCUUCUGCCUUGACACGGCCUCACCCUUUCAGUCCAUCAUUGCAGAGGGGGAGAUGCAGGACUCCAGCCCUGAGUUCCGACUCAAAUCCAGAUCUCUUCCAUUCUACCAUCAUGCUAAGUGCUAAGCAUGUUACAUAUUUUCUACAUAUUCUCUUUUCAUUAGUUUGGGCAUCAGAGUUAGACAAAAAUGGAUAUGGUUUGAAUUUUUAGCUUUGUCAUUUACCAACUCAUCUUCAAACAAUGCAUGAAACAGUGCAGUGAUAAAACAGCACAGUGGCUGGCACAUAGUAAACACUCAUAAAUAAUAGCUUCCUUUUUUUUUUUUUUUUUUUUUUUUUUGCUUUUUAGGACUGAACCUGUGGCCUACGACGUUCCUAGGCUAGGGGGUCAAAUUGAAGCUGCAGCUGUUGGCCUACACCACAGCCACAGCACUAUCAGAUCUGAGCCAUGUCUGCGACCUAUGCCACAGCUCACAACAACAUUGGAUCCUUAACCCACUGAGAGGGGGCAGGGAUUGAACCCGAAUCCUCAUCCCAGUGAGCCACAGCGGGAACUGAAGUCAUUUUUAAUUCAUUCAUCAAAUUCCUAUCUUCUAGGAGCAGGGACCAUGCUUGUCUUGUUACCAUGACAGCCCCUCCAUGGUAGCAGAGUGCCUGUCAGUCAGUGAUUACUGAAUGAGCACGUAGCUGAGACCCCAGGAAUGUUUCUCCAGGGUCUGAGCUCUCCCCCUGCUGACUGCUCACUGUCUCUCCAGGGCCUCCAGCCCCCUCAUGGGGAGACAAACAGGCCAGCAAACACUGGCCAGAGAAAGUGAUGCAAGCUACUCUCUUCUGACCC